AUAGAUCACAACCUUUGCGCGGGAACUGGCGUACGCACGCUUCCAGCCCCGUUUUGUGCGUACGCACGCUUUAUAAAUGAGACCCCAGGCCUUCCUGUCUACUUGACAGUACUGAUUGAAUCAAACAGUACCAGAGAAAGUAAGGAAUUAAGAACAAAUGGCAAUGCUUUUUUUUUUUUUAUCCUAAACGUUCAGGAAUGUUUCAGUGUGUAACCUAAAAACCUUCAAUGCCUUGUAUUUAUUGAAUUUCCUGUCUUGAAUACAACUGAGCAUGAGUAUUCUGCAUUAAACGUUUCUAUGUGAUUAUACAGAACAGAAGCAGCAACAAUGGCUGAGUGGAAUUAAUUAAACCCUAAAAAUAAAGGUACAUUAACUGACUGUUACAACAGAGAUGGCACGGAGGCAGAUGUAAAAGCAACAAGGAUGUUUUAUUGAUAUCAGCAGAGAUGCAGAAUGGAGAAUGAAGACGACGCUGGAGACUGGAGACUGGGAACACUCACACACUGAAGGGAAGGCACACAAGGAGGACUGGAGAUGUUGGAGACAGGUAAGUAUCGAGCUGGAGUCCUUAAGGUAAGCAUUCAUGUGACUGAAGUGCAAACGAGACCAGACAGUGAGUGUGUGUGAGUGUGACCCUGCGUUCCAAUGUCCAUACUAUCCAUCCUAAAUAGUAUGUGAGAUUAAAAUAAGUGUGUCCCAAAGUGUAGUAUGUUGAAAAGAGUAUGCCAAAAGUCCCCGGAUGGUCUACUAUUUCCUGCAGAUUUUCGUGGUGUGGAUCAAUUGAUGCGUCCCAAUGUCCAUACUAUCCAUCCUAACUAGUAUGUGAGAUUACAAAAAGUGUGUCCCAAAGCAUAGUAUGUUGAAAAGUGUAUGCCAAAAUUCCCCGGAUGAUGUACUAUUUCCGGUAGAUUUUCGAAGUGUUGAUCCGUGCACACUUUAUCGGCUCGUGUUGCCCAUAAUCUCUUGCGUUUGGGGGAGGAGUUUAAGAUCCAUAAGGUGAACAAACAUGACGGACGAACGUGUUAACAAUGUGAAUGUGUCAUCAUCAGCGUUUAAAUGUAAAAGUGCAUACAUUUAUAAAGCAAAUAGCCUAAUUUAUUGUCAUUUGUCACUGUUGUGCUAAUAUUAGGCCUAAUUAAAAUACGUCUUAUAUUUUGUAGGGUCAGAUGAACACACUGAACAUCUAAUUACUUGGCGAACUACCAAUGAUGCUGUUUUCACGGGCAAGAGAAACGCUGCUAUAAAAGGAUUCGAGACCUUAAGUGUCCACAGACCGGGGUCAGCACAGAGGGUGGGGAAUCUACAGCAGCCUCCUGGAAGUGGUAUGGGGUGAUGGAUGCUGCAUUAGGGUGUAAGCCGUCCAUCACCCCACCACUGCUCAUCCAGUCUGGCAGCAAGGAUAUUGUCAAUAGUUCCUCAUCCUCUGUUGCUGGCCCAUCUGAUUUGGCACCAACAAACAGGAAGAGAAGAAGCGAAGGGGACCUUUUGACAUACCUCAAGGAGAUGGAAGAAAGAGGCAAAGAGAGAGGAAGAAGCCCAGCAGAGAGAGGAAAGAAGAACAAGAGAGUUGGAAGAGAGAGAGACAAGACGAUAUGAAGAGACAAAACAGAGAGAGGAAGAAGCCAGGAGGAGAGAGGACGAGUUCAGGGUGAGAAUGCUGAGGAGAGAGGAGAUGAGGGAUGAAGAAAUGAGACGGAGGGAUGCAGAGAUGAGGAGAGAAGUUGCAGCAAGAGAGGAGACGUUCCUCAGUUUAAUGGAAGUCCUUGCCAAAUCACUUUCCAAAAAUGAUUGAUUUAUUAUGAUUUUAUGUUUUUUUUUAUGGUUUUAUACAUUAUGUAUUGAUUUUUAUUAUUUAUUGACUGUUUUUCACCUUGUUUUUGCUAUGAAGUAGUGCUGAUGCUGAUACAGCACACAACAAAGUACUUUAAAGAAGUAUCUCAGCAUUUAAGUUAAUCUGUCUGAAAAUAAACAAAUUAACAGCUAA